rnacentral:rRNA from 1 species
AUAGGUGGCAAGCGUUGUCCGGAAUUAUUGGGCGUAAAGCGCGCGCAGGCGGUUCUUUAAGUCUGAUGUGAAAGCCCACGGCUCAACCGUGGAGGGUCAUUGGAAACUGGAGAACUUGAGUACAGAAGAGGAAAGCGGAAUUCUACGUGUAGCGGUGAAAUGCGUAGAGAUGUGGAGGAACACCAGUGGCGAAGGCGGCUUUCUGGUCUGUAACUGACGCUGAGGCGCGAAAGCGUGGGGGAGCAAACAGGAUUAGAUACCCUGGUAGUCCACGCCGUAAACGAUGAGUGCUAAGUGUUGGGGGGUUUCCGCCCCUUAGUGCUGCAGCUAACGCAUUAAGCACUCCGCCUGGGAGUACGGCCGCAAGGCUG